UGCCUUGUACACACCGCCCGUCACACCAUGAGAGUUUGUAACACCCAAAGUCGGUGGGGUAACCUUUUAGGAGCCAGCCGCCUAAGGUGGGACAGAUGAUUAGGGUGAAGUCGUAACAAGGUAGCCGUAGGAGAACCUGCGGCUGGAUCACCUCCUUUCUAAGGAAUUAAUCGGAAACCUACACAUUGUCGAAACUUUGUUUAGUUUUGAGA
rnacentral:misc_RNA from 1 species